rnacentral:misc_RNA from 1 species
GGAUUUAUUAAUGCAGCUGUGAAAUACACUAUUUCUUCAAAAGUGUCAUAUGUACACUAAGCAUUCUUUGUGAACUUACAACAUAAUUCAAUAUUCUGCAAAAACGAGAUAUAGUUCAACAUCAUGACUUGCCAUUAGUUAGCAAGUCCUUGUUUCCUGCCAUCCUCAUUUGGUGAAUUCACGACUACAUCUGUCAGCUUGCAAGGCUCGGCUUCUUCCAGCAUAUGAACUACCAUCCUCAUGGAAGGUCUUAAUGCUGGCGUCCUUGAUGUGCAAUGAACUGCAAUUUUAAGAACCUCAACUGCAUCUUCUUUGAACCCCUCGAAAAUGCUUGAAUCCACCAAAUCGAUCAUGCUAGUAUUGUUUCUUAUCUUGCUACAAACCCAUUGGACUAUGUCAAUGUUCUCCCCGUAUUCUGCCUCCACUGGCUUCUUUCCAGUCACCAAUUCCAUUAGCACCACCCCGAAGCUAUAGAC